UUGACUAGAAGUCUGAGCAAACUGGUCUAGUAGAAGGGGUUGCUGCCCAUGGCAAGGGUAUGGAACUAGAUGAUCUUUAGGAUCCCUUCCAACCCAAACCAUUCCGUGAUUCUAUGAUGUCCUGGUUUUGCAGAACAUGAUCCCCAGGGACCUGUGAUAAGUGAGCCCUUUGGCUUGGUGCCUCCAUG